rnacentral:rRNA from 1 species
AGUGAACGCUGGCGGUAGGCCUAACACAUGCAAGUCGAACGGCAGCACAGUAGUAGCUUGCUCUUACGGGUGGAGAGUGGCGGACGGGGGAGGUAUACAUCGGAAUCUACUUUUUCGUUGGUGAUAACGUAGGGAAAGUUACGCUAAGACCGCAUACGACCUACGUGGGAAAGCAGGGGAUCUUCGGACCUUGCGGGAGUGGAGGAGCCGAUCUCGGGGUAGCUAGUGGGCGGGGUAAGGCCGACCAAGGCGGCGAUCCGUAGCUGGUAUGAGAGGAUGAUCAGCCACAUUGGAACUGAGAAACGGUCGACACUCUGACGCGAGGAAGCAGUGGGGACUACUGGACAAGGGGGGAAAGCCUGAUCCAGCCAUACCGCGUGGGUGCAGACGGCCUUCGGCUUGUAAAGCCCUUUUGUUGGGAAAGAAAAGCAGUAGGUUAACCCCCCGCUGUUCUGACGGUACCCAAAGAAUAAGCACCGGCUAACUUCGUG